CUUGUCUGUGGCUGUGCUAAAACAUCAUGACUGACCGUGAUGCAUGGGAGAAGGGAUUUAUUCGGGCUUGCAGUUUCAGAGGGAUGAGUCCAUCACAGCAGGGACAGCAAGUCACAGGCAUGGCAACUGAAUUGGGAAGCUGAGAACCCAUUGACUCAGCCACAGGGGGAAGUGUUCGAGGAAGAAUUCUCAUCUGACAGAUGGUAGUGGUGCUGCCAGAGAAACUGGGUACAACCUGAUUUCAAUGUAAUUGGAAGGUGAGGAGAGAUGUGGAGAGAAGACCUCGCAGGUUGAUACGACCUCCUCACCAGGACAUCUCCACCGUUCCUCACUCCAUCCCACAGUCUGGCUCCUGCUUUCUGCUCACAUCCUAGAUUGCUGGCUGGGCCAAGAAUCUCAGCCGGACAUCUCCUACAGUUUACAAGGUGUGGGGUAUCAGCUAGAAAACUUGGUGAACUGGGAGCAGAAGGCAUCAUCAGAAGGUCAACUCACAGUAAGGGACAGAAUCAUCUGAAGAUCUGCCUACCCACAAUGAGGCAUUGAGUCAAAGACCUGUCCAUCACAGCAACAGGCAGAGUUAUCGAAAGACCCUCCCACUCAUGUCAGAAAGCUGAGAGAGACGGAUGCUGCCAUGCUCUGAUUUUUAUGUGGGCCAGGAUUCCAGCCCAGGCGUCUUCCCUUCUCGGUUGAAGUUCCCUGGAAAUUCCCUCACAGAUACGUACAAAGAUGAACCUUCCAGAUGACCCUAAAUGCUGUCAGUGACUGUGAAGACCCUCGUCCUCGGUCUCUCGUAUGGAAGUUCUGGUGACAAAGCCUCGUUUUCCAUGUUUGUGAAUUUUCACCCUGGCUUGUUAGAUAACAUUCCUGAGUGUAGCCACUAAGCUGAACAUAAAAUGUCUCUUAUUCACACAGCUGGAUGUUUGUUUGAACCAACUCUCCGCCUUCCCGGGCUCUCUACAGCAUGUGGUUAUGUAUGACCUUUUAACGUCUCCUGUUUUGGAUAAUCAGAGAUUUCCAUCAUGUAUAGAUUGGAGCUUGACUUACAGGCAGUUUUAAGCUGCCUGGUAUGGGUGCUGCAUGAGGGCCAAGGACUCUUAAAUGUUUAGCCAUCUUUCCAGCGCCUAGAAUGAUGUAAUUUAUAUGCCUGUAGAGGUCACUGGCUUCUUUGCAAAACGUUUGUAUUAUUUUGUACUUGUUUUUCAUAUAAUUGAAGAAAUGUGACAGCUAGAUCUACUGUAAGUUCAAGAAAUUUUCAAGUCAGAAUUUGAUUACUGCCCUUUAGAAAAUUGCACUUCAUUAAGUUUUAUUUCAUCUCUGCACUUCCUUAAUUUUUAAUCCUCUUUCUUUUUCAUAGUUUAUACAAUUUCCUUUAUUAGCUCACCUUCCUGUGGUGCAGACAAGCGUUUUGCAGACAAAAGUUGAAGAUGUUGAGUUGUCAAAGUAUGAGGUGAUUAUUGCACGAGAGUUUCCUUGGGUGUUUAUGACAACGAGAAUCAGUAUGGAUAGGUAUACCUACUGUGAAUAAGAAGUUAUCCCCAAGGGGGGAAUCACUCAACAUGAAGGAAAGAAGAACUUUUGUUGUCUUUGGAAGAGAGAACAGGCAGAUAAAUGGUGUUGAGCAAAUAUUUGUCCUUCCUGGCUUGUGUCUGUCUGGAGUGACAUUAUCUCUCAGGCACUCAGGGAAGCAGAUACAAUGUAUCUUUGCCAUCAUAUAACAUCGUAAGUCAGGAGGGAUCCCUGUAUUCCUGUCUGAAAUGGUCCCUCAUCUCUCACUCAUAUAGCAAUUACCUGAAGUUUUGUUUCUGAAUAGAAGAAUCUAUGUCGUGCUGGAAGAAGCAAGCUCUUCCUCCUUGUUCUCCACCAUAACAAGGUGAUGUAGCCCACCUCAGUGGUGUGGGACCACAGAGCAUCAAAGGGACACCAAGUGGGGAUGGGAGGUGUUCAUGCAAGGAUGUGUAACAAAUGGAUUUGAUGCAGGAUGCC